GCUGGAUGGUCCAAUUUUGUUGGACCCUCUACCAUCUACUAGAGUAAUCCUCAUUGCUCUACUGGUCAUAGAGGGCCUCCCAAACAUCCCCCCGUAUUCAGUGAUUCAUGAAAAACUUUCAGUCCAAUGGUGACUUGGAACUGAAAAACUAAAUGGCGGACUACCUGAAGUGGUAUAGCCCAUCACAGAGCCAAUGUGUGGCGACCUCCUUGAAGGUCUGGCCUCCUCAUCCUGAGGAGUCUCAAAUUGGUAGUAUGACUGCAAAUAAAGAAUAGCAUGUAUUAAUAAAUAGAAUACAAAUA
rnacentral:lncRNA from 1 species